UUAAUGUGAAUCAUUUAAUCUUUUAGCUCUUGAAUGAAUGUAAUUUUCCAAAUACACGUAUCUUCAUGAAAUAGCAACAUUUUGAGAAAAAUCAAUAUAUUGUGACUUCUUUUUUCAAUUACUCUUAAUAUCAAAUGAAAUACAGCUGCCCCCCCGCCCCCCAUCUCUGUGGGUUCCGUAUCCAUGGAUUUAGACAACCAGUAUCAAAACUGUAGUUAGGACUAUAGUGGUUGCAUCUGAACUGAGCAUGUAUAGACCUUUUUUCCUGCCAUUAUUCACUGAGCAAUAUAGUAUAGCUGUUUACAUAGCAUUUACAUUGUAUUAGGUAUGAUAAGUAAUAUAGAGAUGAUUUAAAGUAUGGGAGGAUAUGUGUAGAUUAUAUGCAAAUACUCUACCAUUUUAUAUAAGGAACUUGAACGUCUGUGAAUUUUGGUACCCUCGGGGUGGGGGGGUUCUGGAGCCAAUCCCCUGUGUAUACCUAGGGCUCACUGUAUACCCAAAUCCUUUAAAAGUCACAUAAUAAAAGAAAAAUAAUAAAAAUAUUAACUAACUCAAAGUGUUACGAUUAUGAUGUUCAGAACAUCAGUCCAAAUGAAGCAUAGUAACAGUUAAGUGGUAUACUAUAGUACAAACAGCAGUGGUUUCAGUGUCAGUAGAUAAGGGUUGUAGGCCUUCCUGUACCCCUAACUAUAGUAGUCCCCCUUUAUUGGUGUGGGAGAUAUUUCAGUGGAUGCCUGAAACUAUAGAUAAUACUGAGCCCUAUAUAUACCAUGUUUUUUCCUACACAUAGCUGUGACAAAGUCUAAUUUAUAAUGAGCACAGUAAGAGACUAACAGUUUCUUUUUGGCAUAUCCAAAUUUCCAGUAUCACUACCCUUGUGCCUUGGGGCCGUUAUUACGUAAAAUAGGGGUUACUUGAACAUAAGCACUGUGAUACCACAACAGUAGAUCUGAAGACCCAGAUUGCUACUAAGUGACUAAUGAGCUGGUAGUGUCUACAGCAUGGAUACUCUGGACAAAGGAUGAUUCACGUCCCAGGAAGAUGGGAUGGCAGGAGAUUUCAUCACACUACUCUGAAUGGCGCACAAUUUAAAAUUUGUUAGUUUUUUAUUUCUGGAAUUUUUCACUUAAUAUUUUCAGACCAUGGUUGAUCAUGGGUAAUUGGAAACUGUAGAAAUUGAAACUCUGGAUAAGUGGGAGCUAGGUGGCAUUGGGUAAGGCACCAACAGGAAGUGUAUUGUUGUUUGUAUCUGCAAGAUGAGCAUGUUGGACUAGGUGGAGUGAUUCAGGUUUCUUUCACUAUUAGAAUUCUUUUCAUUCUGUGUUCUGUAACAUGGUAUCAGAAACUUUUUUAUCUUAAUUUUUUAUUUUAAAUACUUUAAAAUACUCCUUAAAGUAGAUAGAACAGUAUAAUGAACACCCAGGGACCCAUCUAACAAUCUCAGCCAUCACCACUCCAUGCCAGUCAUGCUCCUUCUAUACUUCCAUCCACUUACCCCUCUCCUGUAUUAUUUUCAAACAAAUCCCAGAUAUUAGACUCUCUUUAUUAACAUGAUCCCUCUGUCAUCUGUAUUAUUAGCACCACGAGGUCUUAAAAAUUUUAUUUAGUUUUUAACAAGCCUCAAAUUGCCUCACUGUUUCUGUGCUUUCCAUUUUUUUAUUGAAAUUUUUUGAGAUAACCAUAGGUUCACAUUUAGUAAUAAGAAAUGACAAUCCCAUCUACCCUUUACCCAAUAUCCCCCAGUAGUAACUUCUUCUAAAACUUUAGUAUAAUAUCAGAACCAAUAAUCAGGUAACCUCCUAGGUGACUGUUUUGAGGAACAGUGGU
rnacentral:lncRNA from 1 species